CGGACGGGUGAGUAACGCGUGGGUAACCUGCCUCAUACAGGGGGAUAACAGUUAGAAAUGACUGCUAAUACCGCAUAAGCGCACGGGACUGCAUGGUCUUGUGUGAAAAACUCCGGUGGUAUGAGAUGGACCCGCGUCUGAUUAGCUUGUUGGUGAGGUAACGGCCCACCAAGGCGACGAUCAGUAGCCGGCCUGAGAGGGUGAACGGCCACAUUGGGACUGAGACACGGCCCAAACUCCUACGGAAGGCAGCAG
rnacentral:rRNA from 1 species